rnacentral:lncRNA from 1 species
AGCACACUGGAGUUUUUGUCCAGAAGUUUGACUUUAGAAGAUAAGAAAUAACUGAGCGUAUUACAAGCAGGAGUUAGAGGAAGAGACUCAGUACAGAAGAGACAGGAACAAAAGUUCACCUCCAUUCAAUGGGAAAGGAUACAGAUCAAGAGUUCAGGAAAAGUAGGAGAAAGAAGCUCUAUUCCAGAAGCAGUCUGGAGCACAAAGAAUCCCUAAUCACUGACAUUAAGAAAGAAGAAAAAUAUUCCUAGGACGAUCCUGGAGAGCAAAGGUCAUCAGCAGUCACUUGACUUUCCUUGGAUUUCUCAACUGCAGUAGUCACAUGGUCUGCUGAAAAUGAAUUCUCUUUAUUUUCAUCUGAUUUCAAGGAAUUAUGGUUUUCAGUGAUUUCUUCAUUUGGAUCUAUUUUGAGACAGAGUAAUAGCAUUAAAACCCCCUUCUGAAUUAAUUAACAUGGGCUUAAAAUCACUCAAUUCACUAUUGGAUUCUUUGGAGCUGUUAAUCUGUU